rnacentral:lncRNA from 1 species
GGGCCGGCCACUUUAGGUGGAAAGGGUGAGAUAUUUAGGCAAGUUGUUGACUAGGUUUCUUUUGUCUAUAUAAGGAACUUUAUAGAGAUAUUGUUCAUUAGGGUUUUUGUGUGUUUAAAACAACAAAGAGGCAAAAGAAAUAUCUCUCUAAAACACAUCAAAGGCCGGCCACCUUGGGGUGAUUUUACUAACACAUCUUUCACCCUUUGGUUAUUCCUUCAUCCUUCUCACUACACUAGUGGGUGAGGAUCUUUAGAGGUUUUCAACUUUGGAAACUUGAAGAGAACCUAGGAGCACUCAUUCUUUCAAAGUGGAGGAGGCAAGGAGGGAGGCUAGGCUCAAGGAUUUCAAGGAGCAAAGGGCUUGGAGGUGGUCCAUCCUUGGUCUUAAGUCUAGAUCAAGAGGUAUAAGACUAAACCUUCACUUUGUUCUUGGUUCUCUAAAAUGUUUUUGAUGCAUUAUAUAUAAACCUAUGAACCUUGAAGGGGAUUUGCAUGACUAUUGCUUUGAUAAUUUGUGAUAAAUGCUUCCGUUGCUCAUGUAUAUAAACUUUUGAAUUGUAUAUGCAUGCUAGUCAUUUAGAAAUCCCAUAUAUGAAUCUCAUAGAUUUCCCUUCAAGUGGUAUCAGAGCCAAAGGUUUAUGUAUAAUGUGUCCUUUUGGAUUUUAUGCAUAUGGGUAUUAAUGUUAUGUAUGACAUAUUAUUGUUUCAUUCAAAGUAUGUUUAUCUUUUGUUUUUCAAUAGUUGAAAAAUGUUAGUCAAAAGUUGAGAAAGAUAUGUAUGCAAAAAUGUUUUGUAUGCAUGAAUGAAAAAUGAGUUUAGAACUAGUUUGACAUAUUAUUUCUUCAUUUAAAGUAUGUUUGUCUUUUGUUUUUCAAUGGUUGAAAAAUAUAAAUCAAGAGUUGAAAAGAUAUGCAUGUAAAAGUUGUUUUGUAUGCAUGAAUGAAGAAUAAGUCAUGAACAAAAUUUUGGGGUUUUGAACCAAAAGGGAGGGCACGGUUUUGGGGGUGGUUUUGGGUUGUGUUUGUGUUUUAUUGUAAACCACUCUCACAUCCUUUUAAAGUUAGAAAGAAGUGUUCUUGUCACUUUUGUUUUUGGGUUUGAAAAAUCACCAAGAAUAUACAAAUCUUGAAAAUGUGUUCAUGGUUUUGUUCUUGGUGUUCAUGGUUUGGUUUUAGGUGAAAAUGGUUUUAUUUGGUUUUCAUGCAUUGUUUUGUGUUUUUGGAUGAUGUUCAUACCAUCCAUAACCAUAUCAUAUAUUUAUAAAACCCUAGGCUUGACUAGGAGGAUUUCCAUCACCUUUUCCCUAAAGUCUUUGAAGCAAAACCUAGUGACAAGCAAAAUUUAAUUUUUUCUACAUAAUGUGGUUUUUGAUGCAUGUUGUGUAAGAGUGUGUAAGAAACCUCCCAUCCCCUUAAUGUGGCCGGCCUCCCUAGUGGAUUUAUCCACUUGUGGGGCUAUUUUGUAAUCUUUGAAAAGUUGAUAUUUACUUUUGAGUAUUUACGGUUUGACCCCUAACUUUUUCAUAUUUGCAUUUAGGCCCUUACUAACUAGAAAGUUAAAAUAUUUGAUUUUAAUUUUGUUAGUUGUUUAAACUCAUAAUACUAUUAUGCCCAUAUGCAUUAAAUCUAAAUGUUCAUGUUGCAUUCCAUUUUGAUUAUUUAAUGUGAUUAAGUAGUUAGAAAAAGGGUGACUAUGGACUUAUGCCUUAAACGAUAAUUGAGCUAUGAGAUAAGGCGCUAAAAUCAAAUUGUUUGAACCUUGGGAAUGUGUUUUAAUUACUGUUUAAUUGGACCUUGUCACGUUUGACGUUAAUCUAUCUCUCCCCUUUUAGUAUGUGUAAUUUAUAGGAAUUUGUACAAAUCGGUUUGUAAUUCUUAUUACUUCUUAAUCUCUUUUAGUUAGUUGAUUCCCUCUAGUGCUAGACUAGAGUUUCUUUAACUAUUGGUAAGGAGACCUAACUAAAAGAGGGUUUUGACAUGAGAUUAAAGAUUAAAUGGGUCCAAUGCCCUAAUUAGCAAUGAAUGAUUGUCUUUCAUUUCUAAUGGCUCAAUGAAAAUGUUUUAAUUGGAUUGAUAAGCACGUAAUUAAAUUGACACAACCUCCCCGAGUUUAUAUUCAACAAUGUUGGCUCGUUGUUGCAAUAACCUAAUAAGUCCAUGGUCAUCCAAGAGCCUAAGAUAACUAUAAAAGUCCAAUUUCAAUGGAAUGCAAAAACCCUUAGUAGUAGUAGUUACUUCCAAUAUUUGAAAAAUGUUUUGAUAUUGAUUUGUUUUAUGAAAACAAAUAGUGGGAGUAUCAUACGCUACUAAACCAUAAUGAAUACAAUUAGUAGUUAUAUAUAUCUCCAAUAUUUUGAAAAAUGUUUUGAUAUUGAUUUGUUUUAUGAA